rnacentral:tRNA from 1 species
GUUAAGGGGGCAAAUAAGUGCAAUGAAUUUAAGCUUCAUUAAAAGGGUAAAGCUCUUUUU